UACGGGGGGGGCAAGCGUUGUUCGGAAUUACUGGGCGUAAAGGGCUCGUAGGCGGCCAACUAAGUCAGACGUGAAAUCCCUCGGCUUAACUGGGGAACUGCGUCUGAUACUGGAUGGCUUGAGUUUGGGAGAGGGAUGCGGAAUUCCAGGUGUAGCGGUGAAAUGCGUAGAUAUCUGGAGGAACACCGGUGGCGAAGGCGGCAUCCUGGACCAACACUGACGCUGAGUGAGCGAAAGCCAGGGGAGCAAACGGG
rnacentral:rRNA from 1 species